CAGGUAGCUGGUUUAACAUACUCUGAGUUUAAUCCUGCGCUCUGAGUUGGUUGAUUCAGAGUUCAGGGUUGAAAAGCAACUCUGGGUUUUCGGUUUCAGAACAGGUGAUCAGCGUUGAGUUAAUCAACUCUGAGUGUGUUCACGCUGGGUUGGGGGCGUGCCUGUUGACUAUAAAGAGCCAUCAUCAAUGGAUCUCUGAUAACAUGAUCAAUAUGGACCAAAAACGUAGAUCCAGUUACUUUUCACCCACGGAAUUGGAAAUAUUAAUGCACGCAUAUGCCGAGCAGGAACACAUUUUCACCAAAAAAAGCAAUACCGCCGCGGCAGCGAGAGCACGAGAGAGAGCUUGGCAGGAAAUAGCCAAUGCGAACAACCCGAGUUGCCCCAAGAGGACUUGGCAGCAAAUGAAAAUGAAGUAUAAAAAUAUAGUUCAAACAGCAAAUCGAAAAAAAGCAGAGGCCCGGAAGACUGGAGGGGGUCCACCACCUGCAGCCCUCACAGUGGCUGAGGAGAUGGCCCUCAGCCAACAGAGUAUGCGUCCUGUGGCUGAGGGCAUCCCUGGAGGGAGCUCCUCUGAUCCCCCCCACCCCCCAGGAUAGAAGUGCCUUUAUCAGAGUUACUGAUGGCGUCAUCGCCCUACUUGAACCAGAUGCCUUCACCAACCUCCAUGCAAUUGUAACAAUUCAAAGGAUGCUUUGGAGAUCCAAAUUUUGGAACAUUAGUUAAAGGUGAGUGAGGUGCAAACUGGGAUACUGUUCCCUGCUCUAAAAACAUACCCGAUAUGAAUGACUUUUUUUGUGCUUUCAGGAAAUAAAGAAAUCCUCAUAAAAAGUAGAUUGUCUUUGUUAGAACACGGGCUGUGGUGGGACAAGUUAUUUUGUUUCACAGUUUACUCAAAGGGUUUUAUUUCAGUGAACAAUGCAGACGAUUAUGCUGAGCAUGUGCAUGUAGAGAAGAACAGCAUCUGGUUAAAAGCAGUACCAGGGUCUUUUCUGCCUUGCAUUCUUAAAAUUAGUUUCUUGACUUGCAGCAGUUAUAGGUCCGUGGUUAGUCAGCUACUCUGAUCAUGGGAAAGCCACAACGUUGAAGUGACUGUAGUACAGAGCGGGUGGGAUGCACGGGGCGGAUCAUUCUGCACAUGCGUUAAUUGCGAUAAAAAAAAAAAAGAUUAAACUUAAAGCAUGCCCCCGGUGCGUUUGACAGUUAACAUGGGGACUGAGAAGGUGGUCUAAAUAAAUGAUAGAUUGCGCUGAAAAACGAUAGCGGUCGUGAAGAAAAUUAUCAGGAAAAUAAAGUAUAUCCAACCGGGGUCUUAAUAAUCGUUCCUCACGGAGAUUCCUUCUGAGGAUCGCAGCCUCUACAUCCACAGGCUCUCGUAGAAAAGGACAUGCCAUUUCUAACACUUCCUUCUGUCGGAGAGCUGCCUUCAGCCUUAUAGACAACCAACUCAGAGUAGGUCUAACCACCUCCCGAGCAGGUUAGGUCCACGGCGUAUGUUGCCGCAGCAACUAACUCUCGGUUGCGCUGAACCUGCUACCUGAAACGGAAAACCCAGAGUUUCCACUAACUCAGAGCGAACAAACUCGGGGUUGCCUCAAAACCAGCUACCUGAAACAGGCCUCAGAAGCCGUGAUGGCAAUUUAAAGAUGUUUACCACAAAAAAUAACAGUGCGCA